rnacentral:rRNA from 1 species
AUUGAACGCUGGCGGCAUGCCUUACACAUGCAAGUCGAACGGUAACAGGUCUUCGGAUGCUGGCGAGUGGCGAACGGGUGAGUAAUACAUCGGAACGUGCCCGAUCGUGGGGGAUAACGAAGCGAAAGCUUUGCUAAUACCGCAUAAGAUCUACGGAUGAAAGCAGGGGACCGCAAGGCCUUGCGCGAACGGAGCGGCCGAUGGCAGAUUAGGUAGUUGGUGGGAUAAAAGCUUACCAAGCCGACGAUCUGUAGCUGGUCUGAGAGGACGACCAGCCACACUGGGACGGAGACACGGCCCAGACUCCUACGGGAGGCAGCAGUGGGGAAUUUUGGACAAUGGGCGCAAGCCUGAUCCAGCCAUGCCGCGUGCAGGAUGAAGGCCUUCGGGUUGUAAACUGCUUUUGUACGGAACGAAAAGACUCUGGUUAAUACCUGGGGUCCAUGACGGUACCGUAAGAAUAAGCACCGGCUAACUACGUGCCAGCAGCCGCCGUAAAAC